GCGACGCCGCGUGCGGGAUGAAGGCCUUCGGGUUGUAAACCGCUUUUCGCAGGGAAGAAAAGGACGGUACCGGAGGAAGAAACCACGGCCGGUUCGUGCCAUGAGCCGCGGUAAUAUAAUAAGCCGCGGUAAUA
rnacentral:rRNA from 1 species